CCUCUCUCUUUCCUUGUCCCUUGUAUCCCGCCCAGCCCACUUAUACAGUUGCUCCCAGUUUCUCUUCUUCUAUAUUAUUUUCAAAUUUCGAUGGUUCUCGUCCAGAUUAGACUGACCAAUUAGACUGACACGCUUGACAAUUUCUCUCUUUUAAUCUGCGCUCGCUUCCAUUGAUUGGAUUUGCAGGUUCACCUACGGAAUUUACUCUUUUGCACUAGAGCGUUAGGUUAUAAGUUAAAAUUAUUGCCCGACAAUGGAGGAGGAAAAAGAUGCUGUUUAUGUUGUUAGAAAGGGUGACACUAUUGCCGUUUACAAGAGUUUAAGCGAUUGUCAAGCACAAACCGGAUCAUCUGUCUGCACUCCUUCAAUGAGUGUGUACAAACGGUAUGGUUUGUCCAAAGAGGCUGAGGAGUUUCUCGCUUCGCAUGGACUGAAGAACCCUGCUUAUGCUAUCAAUGCCAGUUAUGUUAAAGAAGAUCUUUUUGGUGAACUUCUUCCUUGCCCAUUUCAGGAACCAUAUUGUUCCAAAGCUCAAACGGUGGUAAAGGAUUCUCCACCUAAGAGAUCACAAGAACAGCUUCAUUCUAACAUUACUGCUGAAUGUGACUUGGAUUUGUUCUUAACAGAUCCUCAGAAAAAGCAUCUCAAAGUAGACAAUUGCAUUCAACUUCCUAUAAUUUCUCCAACAUGUCAAUCCUGUAUUAUCGAGUUUGAUGGGGCUUCCAAAGGAAAUCCUGGACCAGCUGGUGCAGGAGCUGUUCUACGUACUGAAGAUGGAAGUUUGGUAUAUUUGUUGCGUGAAGGGGUGGGUAUUGCAACAAAUAAUGUUGCUGAAUAUCGAGCUGUAAUUUUAGGACUUAAGUGUGCCCUUAGAAAAGGAUUUAAACAUGUCACUGUCAGAGGAGAUUCCAAACUUGUCUGCAUGCAGAUCCAGGGCCUAUGGAAAAUCAAGAACCCAAAUAUGGCAGAAUUGUGCAAACAGGCAGUGGUGCUUAAGGACAAGUUUACAUCAUUUCAUAUCUUUCAUGUUGAGAGGGAGUUCAACUCCACAGCUGAUGCUCAAGCAAACCUUGCCGUCAAUCUUAGGGAUGGUCAAGUCGAAGAGUCAUGUAAAUAAAAAUUUAGAUAAAAUUUUGGAAAUCAGCAAAAGUGCAAGAGAGCUUAGGCCAAUCAAGAGUAACAAUAGCCUAUAGAUUAAUGUUUAACGGUAGCACCUCAAAUAUAUUUCUGGAUUGGUGACAAAUAAGUCUUGCUUGUCAUAAUCUUUUUCAGAAAAAGUUCUGUCCCAUUAUGUUUAGUAUUCCUAGAUCAAUUUAGACAGAUUAACUUUGGUUUUCUCUAAUUUGGAAUAAUGUCUCGUGUUGAUUCAAGCUUUCUGGAUUCCAUUUUUUUUAUUGACUGCUUCUAUGUUGUACUAAGAACGUGAUUUGAUUAACAUCAUCCCAAGCCAACCAGAUAUUCAUUUCAAGUACACUUGCCCAAACACUUCUUGGCUUCCGCAACUUCAAUUAGUUAUUUUGAUCUUGUUAAGUGGGUCCAGUAUACAUUAAAUACAAAAAAAACAAAAUCUUAUAUGGGUGGAUGUAGGAUUAGUUUUUUUUAAAAAUAGAUCUGAUGUGUGUGUGUUUGUGUAGGAUUAGGAAUCUGAAACUAAGUAGAAGAAAGAAAAAGAAAAUUCAUUAUAGAUAAGAGACAAGUGAGGCUGAUGAGAUAUAUGUAGAACACGAAAAAAGAAAAAGAGUGUUGCGGUACUUUGGAAAAAGGACAGCUUAAAAUUCCUUUUGGAUAUGUGAAAAUCAAAGAGAAAAGUUAGAAUUCUUUUAUUCUUUGAUUUUUUUUUUUUUUGGUGAAAUAAAAUGUAUAAAUAUAUUAACAGACCCUAAGGAGGUGCCAGCCCCUAUACAAAGUGUAUUUUUGUUCUUUGAUUUAUGGUUGGGUAUUUCAAGAAGGACUAAUUUUCCAG